GGGGUGGAAGAAAGAUUUAAGUGGGCUGAAGACUGACUCAGAUCCUGUUUUUAUGGGACUCUUGUCUUUUGAUUCUAUGUUUUUAUGAUUCCACGUCUGCUCUUUGAACCUGGUCUCUCUGUUUUGACGUUCAGACUUGACUCAGCCCCAAUCUACAAGGUUUUGCUCCAAUCUUAAUUAUUCCCUUUGGAACCCAAUUAUUGGUUCUGGCCCACUGAGCAUCCCUGACAACACAUGAGCUAGCCUUUAAGUGAGAGUAAUUGAAGCUUACCCAUCCAAGUCAUGGCAUGUGAAGCUCAGGCUUCAGCUCAGCUUACCACUAAUUGCAUAAAACUGGAAAGUUACUCAACCUCAGUUUCUUCCUCAGUGAAGUGAGACCUAAUCACUCCUGUUUUACUAUAUCAUUGUGAAAAUUAAAGCUCUUGGUACAUGAUGGUUGCUCAAUCAAUGUUGGUUACCUCCUUCCACCUUUCCUGUCCCUCUGAUAAAUGAAUGUCCUUGUAUCUAUCUUUCUGUGGAGCAUUUGUAGAUUGAAAUGAGUAUUUCUAAAGUGAUGUAUUGUAAUCAAGGAAUGUAAAUGCUUCUCAGUGACAUUUCUUUAUUCAUCCAACAUUUAUUUAUCAAGCACCUUCCAUGUGACAAGCACAGAGCUCGGAUGGGCAGCCAACCAUGAACAAGAAGGACACGGCCACGUGCCACAUGCACGGGAGGUAGGCAAGUGUGGAACACAGGAGAGUCAUGAAGAACAUGACUGUGAACUGUGAUAGGCACUGGGAAGGAAACAGCAGGGGCUGAGAAACAGAAUGAGGGCCUCAGGAUGCUUCAAGCGAAGCCAUGGAGGAAGGUUUUUCUGAAAAUUUGAUGUAUAAGCUGCUAUCUAAAGGGCAUGAUGGAACCAAGGGCAGUCGUCCUUCUUGGCAUUCAUUGAUAGAUGGAGCUAUCUGUGGAGACCCCCGAGAAGCUACGGAGGUGCAGGUGUAUUCGCCUCUACAUUGAUUCUACAUCUGGGUGGCUAUGCAUUCACUAACUUAUAAUGUUUUUCUUUCCUUUUCAUCAUCUGCCAGGUGAGCAAGUCAAUCAUCACCUUUUAAACACUUGAGAUUUCUAAUCUAUUUGUGGCUGAGAAAUCUAACAAUUGUGCUGGUUAGAAUUACAUAAGGAUGACAUUGGCUUUGGAUGAGGUCUCUCCUGUGAGUGUCGUAAACCAAACUUCAGAGCCUGAGCUGUGUACUAGUGCACUCAUUAAACUUCUCAGAGACCAGUUUUGUUCCUGAGAUCUUGGUUAAGUUCUGGACAAGUGAGGUUCUAGGACAGACACCCCAGCUUAGGAGCAUUGUGUUUGAUGUAAAAGGAAAUGGGGUGGAAAAAUAUGCAAGUGUCUCAUCUCUCCUGUCAAGUGCAUGGCUACUUGAUUACAUCCUCUACCCCAAGAAUGCCACCCUGCUUCAGAUCACUCCACUCCAGGGCCUACUGGAGAGACAGAAGAAUGUGGGAGAAAUGCGAGCUUGAGAUGAUUUUGCUCUUGUUAUUAAAAUGCUCUUCUCAUUGUGUGGUAAAAUUACAGAAAAUGUCUUUCUCUUCAGAAAACAAAGACUUCAGCCCCAAAGAGGGCCCAAGAGAGUUUUAGGACAAAUUUGCAUCUCUCUGGCAGGAACUAUGUAUGAAUUCAAGACAGAAAAGGAAUAUUUACAUAAUGUAUACUAUAUUUCUGUUAUAGCUUUCCAGAGAGCUCCCUAGCAAGAACUGGGAAGAGGUAUGAGGGGCAAGAAAGCUCCAAGCAGCCUCCCCUACUGAAAGCUAAUUGUAGUGGCACUGAUUGAAAGGUGGUGGAAGUUGUAGAAAGCCCUAGAGAGCAAUCAACAGGCUUAGGGCAGGCUGACCCCAAGACCUUGGGUCACUGUGUGGCUUUGAGCAAAUUGCGUAAUCUAUUUUGGCCCUAAUUCUCUCUUUUUAAAAAUGAGAUUGCACACCAGCAACUGUUGUUGCUCUUUCAGCUUGGAAGUGCUGUCUUUGUGGGUAAAUAAGGCAUUUUUAAGGCUAGUCUAAAUUUACAAGUGAACCUGUGGAGGCCCUGGAAAUACACUUACAUAUUUCACAUAGGACUACUGUAGUCACUACAAUGAGAAAGAAUUUCACUUCCUGCAUUGGAUCGGGUGGAUUAGAGUUGGUGCAUAUAAAGCAGCUAUGACAUGAAAAUAUUCCACAGAUGGUAGUCAUUGUUAUUUUUUUUUUUAUUUUUUUUUUUAGAUAGAGUUUUGC
rnacentral:lncRNA from 1 species